GGUCCUUCUAGGGUUAACCCAUUUUUUCAUAAACAUAGCAGUUUCAGAGAAACUGCUAUGUUUGUGAAUGGGUUAAGCCUUCCCCUAUUUCCUCUAGUGGCUGUCUCAUUGACAGCCACUAGAGGCGCUUGCGUGCUUCUCACUGUGAGUUUCACAGUGAGAGCACGCCAGCGUCCAUAGGAAAGCAUUGUGAAUGCUUUCCUAUGUGACCAGCUGAAUGCGCGCGCAGCUCUUGCCGCGCGUGCGCAUUCAGCCGACGGGGAGGAGAAGAGGAG
rnacentral:lncRNA from 1 species